rnacentral:rRNA from 1 species
UUCCAUGAAGCCGGAAUUGCUAGUAAUGGCAGGUCAGCAUACUGCCGUGAAUACGUUCCCGGGCCCUUGUACACACCGCCCGUCACACCAUGAGAGUUGGGAAUACCCGAAGCCUGUGAGCUAACUUUUAGAGGCAGCAGUCGAAGGUAGAAUCAAUGAUUGGGGUGAAGUCGUAACAAGGUAGC